GGGGGGGCUGUGCAGCAGCGGGCUGCAGGACAGACUGCUGAGGACCAUGGCCGCCAUCAGCUCGUCCAUCUCCACCUCCCCCGGGCUGCGACGUUAGUCUGACCUUCUGGGGACGUCGAUGCAGGAGGAGACAGAUCUGUUGCUGGACGGGGACACGGAGGACGGACCAGAUGAAGACCAGACAGAAACGUUGCUGGGCAGAUCCCACGCGCCUGCAGACUCACUUCCUGCCCCCCCGCAAUGAAAAAAACCCUGACAGAGACAG